AACGCGAAGAACCUUACCUGGGCUUAAACCGUACUUGAAUAUGUCAGAAAAGGCAUAGUCGUAAGACAAGUGCGGAGGUGCUGCAUGGCUGUCGUCAGCUCGUGCCGUGAGGUGUUUGGUUAAGUCCAGCAACGAGCGCAACCCUUAUCGUUAGUUGCCAGCGAGUAAUGUCGGGAACUCUAGCGAGACUGCCUAGGUCAACUAGGAGGAAGGUGAGGAUGACGUCAAGUCCGCAUGGCCUUUAUGUCCAGGGCUACACACGUGCUACAAUGGCCGAUACAGAAGGUUGCCAACCCGCGAGGGGGAGCUAAUCCUAUAAAGUCGGUCUCAGUUCGGAUUGCAGCCUGCAACUCGGCUGCAUGAAGUUGGAAUUGCUAGUAAUGGCGUGUCAGCUACAACGCCGUGAAUACGUUCCCGGGCCUUGUACACACCGAGACGAC
rnacentral:rRNA from 1 species